rnacentral:rRNA from 1 species
AUACGGAGGGGGCUAGCGUUGUUCGGAAUUACUGGGCGUAAAGCGCGCGUAGGCGGGUUGGCAAGUGGAAGGUGAAAUCCCAGGGCUCAACCCUGGAACUGCCUCCAAAACUGCCAGUCUUGAGUUCGGAAGAGGUGAGUGGAAUUCCUAGUGUAGAGGUGAGAUUCGUAGAUAUUAGGAAGAACACCAGUGGCGAAGGCGACUCACUGGUCCGAUACUGACGCUGAGGUGCGAAAGCGUGGGGAGCAAACAGGAUUAGAAACCCCAGUAGUCC